GGAGGAAAUCUUGAUAAACGUGAUUGUAAAUAGCAGCACUGAAACCGCACGGUGGCAGUAAUGUAGCAAACCGGAUACCGCCCGCCGCAGAAACCAAGUGACGAAGAAGACGAGUUCCGGUUGAUGUUUACCGCAGAACGGAAAAGCCCACCCCGCUCUGCUAACGACCCGCUGCUGCUGAUGUCCCUCCUCCCCCCUCCGAUUGAUUAUUUAAUCAGUUUUAGGACCAAAACUGCAAACAUUCUCAGUCCCUGUAAAAGCGGAGGAGCUUCAUCGCUGUUCGAGGAGCAGCGACCUGCUAAUGAGCUGCUAACGAGAAGCUAACGGGGAGCUUUCGGCUCGGUAUCGGGCGGACUCGGCUGAGCUCGGAGAUUCCGACGACGAGGUUAGCCGGCUAACUGUAGCUCACGGACUGAUUUUCCUCUUUAAUAACGUCGACAUAGAUAAUUCUUCUGUCUUCUGUCGAUAGACUUUAUUGAUCCCUCACUGUGUCCCGGAGCUCGCGCUCCUGUUUGGUAGAUUUGGAGGUUUUAAUCGGUUUUAAUCGGAAGUGUUCGUGUUUGCUGAGUUAGCUCUGUCAUCGCAGCUGGAUGGUUAGAUUUAUCUCCUUAAACGGUGUUAAAUAACCAAAGAGCGGGUUUAAUGAGUUAAUGAUUCUUUUAGCUGUCAGACUGAGAGUAAAAUGAUGUGAAUUAAAACUGAUGUGAUGGUUAAUUAAAGGCCAGGAGGACAGGGGCGCGUCCAGGGAUGGCACGGGCCCCUCUGUGGAAUCUGAUUGGCCACCCCAGGUGCUGAUCCAGAGUUCUGCUUUUUGAUUGGUUGUUGCGCGGUCAGGGGGCAGGACUUGUGCUCCUGUAGGUUAACGCUGCUUUAGUGUCAGGGCUGUGUGGUGACAAUACUGAUCAGGUCAUUGAUUAUAGAUUGAUUAUAGAGCAGGUGGUCGACCUCAGAGUGACGCUGUUAUUCUGGAUGAAGGUUCUGGUCCUCUGUUUGGAUCGGUACCCUCUCCGCCUGGUUCUGGGUCGUCCCCCCAGGUCCGCUGACGGUCUCUGUAAACGGUUUCCUCGCUCUUCAGUUUGGGUGUUUUUAUUUUAUUGUUGUUGUCAUGACGACAGUUGUUGUCUCUCUCUCUGUCUGCAGUUUUGAUCUUUUCCUGAUUUUGAGUUUGGAGUCAUUCCUGUUUUUAUUUCUGCUCUCUGAUUGGUCGACUGUAACUCUCUUUACGUUGGUGUUCAUCAGGUUUCUCUCUCACACUCACAGUUCGUCCAAAACGCUGCUGCUCGUCUUUUAACAGGUAAAUAAAAACAUGACCACCUCACUAUGAUUCUGGCGUCGCUCCAUCGGCUUCCCGUUCAUUUUAAAAAUCAUUUUGUUUGUUUUUAAAUCUUUAAUCAAAACCACAGUUCAUCUCUGACCUCUUCAGUGUUCCUUCAGGUCAGCUGAUCAGCUCCAACUCCUCGUCCCUAAAACUCGUUUAAAAACCCGCGGUGACCGAACUUUCUCCGCACGUCAAGAUGAAACCAUCCCCGACUCUUUCACCUUAAAAUCACGACUUAAAACUCAUUUUUAUUCCUCGGCUGUCAGCUCAGUGUGAGAGUUGUGUGAUCUCUGUCCUUUUAUCACUUUAAUUUCUUUUCUUUUAUUUCAUUUUAAAUGUUUUUUACCUGCUUUUAUUUAUUCCCUUGUGUUGUUUCUCUGCUCUUUUGAUUUUAUUGCGCAGCACUUUGGUAAACUUCAUGGUGGUAGUCCAAUAAUCGGGAGGUUGGCGGUAAGGCUGCACGAUAUUGGAAAAAAAUAAUAUUGCGAUUUCUUCAACCCUGCGAUAUAUAUUGCGAUAUUAAAAAUACAGUAAUUUUCACCAGAUGACCUGAAUAGCACUUAAUGUUAUGCUGCACUGCUGAAAUCUUGAGGACAGUUAAUCUGCUCUGAUCUUACCUCUUUUUGUGAAUGUUAGUAGAACGGCUUCUGUCUGUCUCAGAGAUAUUUUUAGCUUUUAUUGUGCUGGGACGUUAUUGUGGCAACAGGUGAACACAGAAGACGUGUUUUGGUCGACAUCAUCCUUCUUUUAACCGAAAUAAUUCCAGAUAACUGACUUUCCUUUUCUUUUUGGCAACAAAUCUUCAUUUUCGGUGGUUUUCGCUUGUUCGUUGUUCAUUUUGUGAUCUUUGUUGUUGUUGUUGUUGUCCUCCGAGAAUUGCAUGCACCUCGCAAAACGCGCACUGCUUAUAGUAGAGUGGUCCACGGAAAUGUACAAUUUAAAACCCAUACAGUUCUUAUUUGUUGGGCUUAACAGUCAUGAGUAAAGUUCCGAAAGUAAU